GAUUACCAUGAACUGAAGAUUGCUGAAUUGAAUUAGAACUACAUACUUACUAAUUUUUGUAUACAUACUUACCUCUAGUCUAAGCCGUUAGGUUAAGAUAGGCUAACUAAUGAACUAUUGAAAUAAAGAAUGCUAUUGUAUUAAAGACUAUACCCGCGAACGGACGUUUUUCUUGUUUUAACCGGAAUUUUUUAAAACCGAGAUAGCACAGGCAAUUUGCUUUUAGUUGCGUAUACUAGUGAGUCCAACGUUUAGAACUUCAAUUUUAAAAAAGCUUAAGAUUUUUUCAUGGCGUCCGAGCAGGGACUCAGUGCGUGGCUGUAAAAGUGCAUUUAAUUUUCGAAAAGAAUUUCAAAGUAAUACUUAGCGUAUUAAUUUAAUUUCGAACGCGUGAGCAAUUGCCUGUGAAUUUGCCAUUUCUUCCGGUUUCGGUCGAGUACAAGUGACUAAAGUGACAGAUCCCGAAAAUAAAAGUCUGGACAAAGACAUUAAAAAAUAUAUGUAUAAUAAAUUAAAAAAAAAAUAAUAAUUUUUUUUUAAAUAAAAAAUAGCAGUGGCUUGUGAAAAAUAUAACACUUUGCGUAUACAUACUCGUAUAUAUAAAAUAAUUGCGAAGUGCACACAUAUGGACAUACACUGAAGUGAAUAAAAAACGAAGUGAUAAAAUCAAACAUAAAGAAAAUAAAAUACAAAUUAACCUAAGCUAAAAAUUGAGAAAAACGUUUUGUGAAGUGUGUGGUGAAAAUAUAAUACAUAUAUAUGACAUACGUGCGGUAAAAUUCGCCAGUCUAAUAGUGCGCAAACACAAAGAAAGAAAAGAAGAAAAACCAAAACUAAAAGGUGGAUAAUUCGGUUAAACGGCAUACAGUGGAGUGUUAAAAUAAAUGCAGUGUUGAAAUAAAAGCAUUUGUGUUUAUUUUUUCUGUGCCGGAAAAGAGGUAACUACAAACCCGUUAAAAAAAGCCGUAAAACCAAAAACCGAUAACUUCGGCCGUUAAAACGUUAAACAGCUAUUUGGGGUACGAGUAACAUCACGUCGGUACCGAACGGGCUUGCGUCAACGCCAUCGUACCACUGCUGCUGCGUCAACGCCGAUUCUCGCCGUUGCCAAGUCAACGUCAACACCGUCACUGUUAACGUCAACACUGUCGCUGCUAACAUCGACGCCAGAUCCUCUGCUUCGGGGGAAUGAGCUGCAAUUGCAUUCUCUGCAAAAGAUGAGCUCUACAAGCAAUAUAUUUGGCGAAUCAAUCUUUGAAAGCCAAGAAGAAAAUGAUAUCUAUUUCAGAUCAUUAGAUAUUGAUCCCAAGGAAGUUAUAUAGUAUAAAAGACAACGUAUCAACAACCUCAACCCCUUCACAAGAUAAAGAGAAUUAUCAAGAAUUAAAUACGAUGGCCAUCCUAAACGAAAUUCUGGGAAAGCAGAGGGAAAUAUUGGAUAAGAUACAUACUUUAGAAUCAAAUCAACAGAUAUUAUUCGAUACAUUAGGUUCACUAAGUAAUGGACAAGUGUUGAUAACAGGGAAUCAAAAACAAAUUACGGACAAAUUGGAAACAGUGGAACAAAAAUCUAUAGACUAUAGAUAGAUCGGAAAUGCUAGCACAGAGUUCCCUGAUUAAGGAAUGUAAGGUGCAUUUAAAAAAAAUGAGCGAUCGGUGUGCCUCAUGACCGGAGAGGAAAAAGACGAGGCUCGCGACCAGGUAGCAACCCUUUUACCUAUUCAAAACUUUGAGGGAUGUUUGGAAGUGGAAGAAAUGUUAGAGAAAGCUGAGUUCGCACAAUCUAUGAUCAGUUAUGUCUACAAACUUAAAGGGACAUCGGACAAUAUUGAAAACUCUUUCAAAUAUAAGUAUCGGGUGAUUUUUUUAGAAGCUUGAUAACUUUUUUUAAAAAAAAAACACAUAAGAUUUGCAAAAUCUCAUCGGUUCUUUAUUUGAAACGUUAGAUUGGUUCAUGACAUUUACUUUUUGAAGAU